rnacentral:rRNA from 2 species
UGCAGUCGACGAGCUUCCGUUGAUGACGUGCUUGCACUGAUUUCAACAAUGAAGCGAGUGGCGAACUGGUGAGUAACACGUGGGGAAUCUGCCCAGAAGCAGGGGAUAACACUUGGAAACAGGUGCUAAUACCGUAUAACAACAAAAUCCGCAUGGAUUUUGUUUGAAAGGUGGCUUCGGCUAUCACUUCUGGAUGAUCCCGCGGCGUAUUAGUUAGUUGGUGAGGUAAAGGCCCACCAAGACGAUGAUACGUAGCCGACCUGAGAGGGUAAUCGGCCACAUUGGGACUGAGACACGGCCCAAACUCCUACGGGAGGCAGCAGUAGGGAAUCUUCCACAAUGGACGAAAGUCUGAUGGAGCAAUGCCGCGUGAGUGAAGAAGGGUUUCGGCUCGUAAAACUCUGUUGUUAAAGAAGAACACCUUUGAGAGUAACUGUUCAAGGGUUGACGGUAUUUAACCAGAAAGCCACGGCUAACUACGUGCCAGCAGCCGCGGUAAUACGUAGGUGGCAAGCGUUGUCCGGAUUUAUUGGGCGUAAAGCGAGCGCAGGCGGUUUUUUAAGUCUGAUGUGAAAGCCUUCGGCUUAACCGGAGAAGUGCAUCGGACACUGGGAGACUUGAGUGCAGAAGAGGACAGUGGAACUCCAUGUGUAGCGGUGGAAUGCGUAGAUAUAUGGAAGAACACCAGUGGCGAAAGCGGCUGUCUAGUCUGUAACUGACGCUGAGGCUCGAAAGCAUGGGUAGCGAACAGGAUUAGAUACCCUGGUAGUCCAUGCCGUAAACGAUGAGUGCUAAGUGUUGGAGGGUUUCCGCCCUUCAGUGCUGCAGCUAA